rnacentral:rRNA from 1 species
GAUGAACGCUAGCGGCAGGCUUAAUACAUGCAAGUCGUGGGGCAGCAGGACUGUAGCAAUACAGUUGCUGGCGACCGGCAAACGGGUGCGGAACACGUACGCAAUCUACCCAGAACUGGUGAAUAGCCCUCCGAAAGGAGGAUUAAUACACCGUAAUAUUAUAAAGUGGCAUCACUUAAUAAUUAAAGCUCCGGCGGUUUUGGAUGAGCGUGCGGCCCAUUAGGUAGUUGGGUGAGGUAAUGGCUCACCAAGCCUGCGAUGGGUAACUGGUGUGAGAGAACGACCCGUCACACGGGCACUGAGACACGGGCCCGACUCCUACGGGAGGCAGCAGUAAGGAAUAUUGGUCAAUGGACGCAAGUCUGAACCAGCCAUGCCGCGUGGAGGAUGAAGGCCCUCUGGGUUGUAAACUUCUUUUAUGGGGGACGAAAUCACUUAUUCUUAAGUGUCUGACGGUACCCCAGGAAUAAGCACCGGCUAACUCCGUGCCAGCAGCCGCGGUAA